CGUCUCUCGCUGCUGCGUAGAAGACGAAGACGUGCGAUGUGGGGUGCCGGGACGCGUUGCACUCCUCGAGUUGCUGCUACUGUGUUGGCCGUCAUGGCCUUGUCGGCUCUGGUGUACACUACGGCGCGACGCGGUGUGCCACGCGUCAUGGGUGGCCGUUUCUUUUCCUGUGGCGCAUGCGCCUCCCCGAUUGCUACUAUCGAUCCAGUUGUUGCCGAAGAAAACUCCAUCGAGAGGAGACUGCCGCCUGAGAUUAAGGCCCUACAUACACAAGCUGUGGCGAACGGCGAGGACACGUACAUUGAUCUGCGCACGGGCUUCACUGUGUUUACCCGCCUUGGGCUGAUGCGAAACAUGAAGUGCUGCGGGAACCGGUGCCGCCACUGCCCCUUUGGCCACGCAAAUGUCCAGUCCAAGCGCUUGAUGACAACCGAAGCAGGAGGUCCUUUCGGGGCCACGUCCGCCGCCUCCGCGGCCACUAGUGUGGAUGCGUCUUCCGCCGCCCCUACGGCAGCCUCAAAAGAUGGGAAAGAGGUAGGUGGUGGUAAAGUACCCAAGCAUAGUAUGGUCUACACCAAGACAGGGGACAACGGAUCAUCUGCCCUAUUCACUGGCGAGCGCCGAAGGAAAGCAGAUGCCGUGUUCGAAGCUCUUGGUGCGAUCGACGAGCUCAGCAGCCAUGUGGGGCUCGCCAGGGCGAUGCUACGCAGCGCCGCGGAGAGGCAUGAGCACGAUGAGGCGAUGAUGAGCCUGCUGGCGGAAAUCCAGCAGGAGCUGCUGAACGCCGGAACGGUUGUGGCAACGCCAACGGCGAAAAACGUCGAGGACGAAACUGCAAAGCACAUGACUGAGAUUCUCGAGGGCUACCGCUUUCCCGAAAAAACGGAAGAGCUAGCGAAAAACAUCGACAUCAUUGACAGCCGCCUCGCUCCGUUGCGCGUUUUCAUUCUACCUGGAGGUGGUAACGUGGCCUCUGCCCAGCUGCAUGUCUGCCGCACCACUUGCCGGCGUGCGGAGCGGCGGAUGGUCACGCUGGGCGACUUGUACGGCGCGACCUACACGAAUCACUUGCGCCAAGCCACUGUGUACAUGAAUCGGCUCAGCGAUUUUUUUUUUGUAGCGGCCCGCAGCGUUGCGGAGGAGGAUAUUGUCCGGAAGUACGACUGAGCGGCGCGCGCUCCUCCAUAGCAUCGUUGUCACGGCAUUUUUUUUGCGGCGUUUUCCCACCCCAGCACUGGCGCACUGCGACGCGAGAGAAAUGAAUGGCUUGUGUGCCAUCAGCAUCGGUUGCGAGCUGCAGAACCAGUAGUACCAUCUCUCACCCCUUUCUUUUUUUUUUGUCAGUGGCUGCCGCCGAGCUUCACUAUUCUCACUAUCUUGUCUCCACUCGUUUUCGUCCUCUCUCAUCUUGCGUGUUUCCUCGGGAGAACACAUGUUUGCGUCCGUGUAGCUGGCACCGGUCUCCGUCGGUAUGGGCUGGUGUGCAGUGAUGUUUUUGCGGACUGCCCGUGGAUGGAGGCUUUGUUUCCACAGCAGAGGUAGAAGAAAUGGG
rnacentral:misc_RNA from 1 species